rnacentral:sRNA from 1 species
UCUGGUUGGGAAAUCUGUUACCCCACUGAUCUCCAGGGUUGACAUAGCUGAUCUGGCAGAAAAGGAUGACCGCCCCU